rnacentral:rRNA from 1 species
AUUGAACGCUGGCGGUAUGCUUAACACAUGCAAGUCGAACGGUAACAGGCCUUCGGGCGCUGACGAGUGGCGGACGGGUGAGUAACGCGUAGGAAUCUGCCUCAUAGUGGGGGACAACGUGGGGAAACUCACGCUAAUACCGCAUACGCCCUACGGGGGAAAGCGGGGGAUCUUCGGACCUCGCGCUAUGAGAUGAGCCUGCGUUAGAUUAGCUAGUUGGUAGGGUAAAGGCCUACCAAGGCGACGAUCUAUAGCUGGUCUGAGAGGACGAUCAGCCACACUGGGACUGAGACACGGCCCAGACUCCUACGGGAGGCAGCAGUGGGGAAUAUUGGACAAUGGGCGCAAGCCUGAUCCAGCAAUACCGCGUGUGUGAAGAAGGCCCUAGGGUUGUAAAGCACUUUCAAUGGGGAGGAAAACCUGCCGGUCAAUACCCGGCAGCUUGACAUUACCCAUACAAGAAGCACCGGCUAACUCCGUGCCAGCCGCCGCAGUAAUAC